UUGUUCUUGUGUUUGUGUUUGUGUUUCCCAAAAAGCUAUUUAGUUUUGUUUUUGUAAUUUGUUUUAUUCUGAUUGAUUGGAUGUUCUGGUCCUGAGGCUUCAGUGUGUUAGUAGAACAGGUUAGUGAACUAGGGCCCAGGACCAGCUGGAUGAGGGGACUGAGGCUUCAGUGUGUUAAUAGAACAGGUUUGUGAACUCAGGACCAGCUGGACGAGGGGACUGAGGCUUCAGUGUGUUAGUAGAACAGGUUUGUGAACUCAGGACCAGCUGGACGAGGGGACUGAGGCUUCAGUGUGUUAGUAGAACAGGUUUGUGAACUCAGCCCCAGGACCAGCUGGAUGAGGGGACUCUUUUCUUUGAUCAGCUCUUGGCAUUGCAGGGCUUGGUAAUGCUAUGAGAGGUGGUCACUGUAUUUUAG
ensembl:lncRNA